UACGUAGGGGGCGAGCGUUGUCCGGAUUUAUUGGGCGUAAAGAGCUCGUAGGCGGUUUGUCGCGUCGGCUGUGAAAACCUGGGGCUUAACUCCGGGCCUGCAGCCGAUACGGGCAGACUAGAGUUCGGCAGGGGAGACUGGAAUUCCUGGUGUAGCGGUGAAAUGCGCAGAUAUCAGGAGGAACACCGGUGGCGAAGGCGGGUCUCUGGGCCGAUACUGACGCUGAGGAGCGAAAGCGUGGGGAGCGAACAGG
rnacentral:rRNA from 1 species